GACGAACGCUGGCGGCGUGCCUAAUACAUGCAAGUCGAGCGGACUUUCAAGAAGCUUGCUUUUUGAAAGUUAGCGGCGGACGGGUGAGUAACACGUGGGCAACCUGCCUGCAAGACGGGGAUAACUCCGGGAAACCGGGGCUAAUACCGGAUAAUAUCUUCCUUCGCAUGAAGGAAGGUUGAAAGGCGGCGCAAGCUGCCGCUUGCAGAUGGGCCCGCGGCGCAUUAGCUAGUUGGUGAGGUAACGGCUCACCAAGGCGACGAUGCGUAGCCGACCUGAGAGGGUGAUCGGCCACACUGGGACUGAGACACGGCCCAGACUCCUACGGGAGGCAGCAGUAGGGAAUCUUCCGCAAUGGACGAAAGUCUGACGGAGCAACGCCGCGUGAGCGAAGAAGGUCUUCGGAUCGUAAAGCUCUGUUGUCAGGGAAGAACAAGUACCGUUCGAACAGGGCGGUACCUUGACGGUACCUGAGCAGAAAGCCACGGCUAACUACGUG
rnacentral:rRNA from 1 species